rnacentral:tRNA from 1 species
GACCGCGUAGCUCAGUUGGAAGAGCAUUGGGCUGGUAUUCCACAGGUCGUAGGUUCGAAUCCCACCGUGGCCG